UCCGGUAACGAAAGUAAGAGGGAAACACCUGUAACCAUACCGAACACAGAAGUUAAGGCUCAAUACGCUGAUGGUACUUGGCUGGCGACGGCCCGGGAGAGUAGGUAUUGCCGGUU
rfam:Peptoniphilus sp. oral taxon 386 str. F0131 genomic scaffold supercont1.1, whole genome shotgun sequence.